UACAGAGGGUGCAAGCGUUGUUCGGAAUUAUUGGGCGUAAAGGGUGCGUAGGCGGUGCGGUAAGUCUCUUGUGAAAUCUCCAGGCUCAACCUGGAGCCUGCAAGGGAAACUGCCGUGCUUGAGUGUGGGAGAGGUGAGUGGAAUUCCCGGUGUAGCGGUGAAAUGCGUAGAUAUCGGAAGGAACACCUGUGGCGAAAGCGGCUCACUGGACCAUUACUGACGCUGAUGCACGAAAGCUAGGGGAGCAAACAGG
rnacentral:rRNA from 1 species